CUAUUUCUUAGAGAUAGAAAGUUACUUCGGUACGAUCGGCGACAGGUGGUGCAUGGUUGUCGUCAGCUCGUGUCGUGAGAUGUUGGGUUAAGUCCCGCAACGAGCGCAACCCCUAUUGUUAGUUGCCAUCAUUCAGUUGGGCACUCUAGCGAGACUGCCGGUAAUAAACCGGAGGAAGGUGGGAUGACGUCAAAUCAUCAUGCCCCUUAUGACCUGGGCUACACACGUGCUACAAUGGUUGGUACAACGAGUUGCGAGUCGGUGACGGCGAGCUAAUCUCUUAAAGCCAAUCUCAGUUCGGAUUGUAGGCUGCAACUCGCCUACAUGAAGUCGGAAUCGCUAGUAAUCGCGGAUCAGCACGCCGCGGUGAAUACGUUCCCGGGCCUU
rnacentral:rRNA from 1 species